AACGUAGGUGGCAAGCGUUAUCCGGAAUUACUGGGCGUAAAGGGCGCGUAGGCGGUCCUAUAAGUCAGAUGUGAAAGCUCUGGGCUCAACCCAGGAAUUGCAUCUGAUACUGUAGGACUUGAGUUCGGUAGAGGAGGGCGGAAUUCCGGGUGUAGCGGUGAAAUGCGUAGAUAUCCGGAGGAACACCGGUGGCGAAGGCGGCUUCCUGGACCGACACUGACGCUGAGGCGCGAAAGCUAGGGGAGCAAACGGG
rnacentral:rRNA from 1 species